GACAGAGGGUGCAAACGUUGUUCGGAAUUACUGGGCGUAAAGGCGAGUGUAGGCGGUUCGAUAAGUCGGAUGUGAAAGCCCCGGGCUCAACCCGGGAAGUGCACUCGAUACUGUCGAGCUAGAGUAUCGGAGAGGUUGGUGGAAUUCUCGGUGUAGAGGUGAAAUUCGUAGAUAUCGAGAGGAACACCGGUGGCGAAGGCGGCGAUCUGGACGAUGACUGACGCUGAGACGCGAAAGCGUGGGGAGCAAACAGG
rnacentral:rRNA from 1 species